rnacentral:rRNA from 1 species
CCCUUAGACGUUCUGGGCCGCACGUGCGCUACACUGACCAGUGCAACAAGCAUCCGUCCUUGGCCGACAGGCCCGGGCAAUCUUUGAACGCUGGUCGUGAUGGGGAUAGACUUUUGCAAUUUUUGGUCUUCAACGAGGAAUUCCUAGUAAACGCAAGUCAUCAACUUGCAUUGAUUACGUCCCUGCCCUUUGUACACACCGCCCGUCGCACCUACCGAUUGAAUGGUCCGGUGAAGCCUCCGGAUUGGCGCGCACCUCGGUGCCGCCGAGAAGUUGGCUAAACCUUACCAUUUAGAGGAAGGUGAAGUCGUAACA